UGCGUAGGGGGGCAAGCGUUGUCCGGAAUCAUUGGGCGUAAAGAGCGUGUAGGCGGCUCGGUAAGUCCGCUGUAAAAGUCCAGGGCUCAACCCUGGAAAGCCGGUGGAAACUGUCGAGCUAGAGUCCGGAAGAGGCGAGUGGAAUCCUGGUGUAGCGGUGAAAUGCGCAGAUAUCAGGAGGAACACCAAUGGCGAAGGCAGCUCGCUGGGACGGUACUGACGCUGAGACGCGAAAGCGUGGGGAGCAACAGGAUAGA
rnacentral:rRNA from 1 species